rnacentral:misc_RNA from 1 species
CUCCUUUUCAGAUGCUACCGACAUAACCCCAACUCGAUCUUAAAAAUGCAUUCUUGUAGCUUUGCGGCAUUGCAUUUCCAAUUCAUCCUCAUCAACACAACAUAACAAUCAACGAAAAACCGAAAGGCCCAUAAGAAAGCACCAAUCCAACUGUUAGCAACCAAUUUUCUCAUCAUUUUGCAUGUAAAACCUCAAGUUAAAUGUCCACCAGAGCAGCAUUUAAACACCAAACCAAAAAGAAAAGGCCAAAACCCAUUACAAACAAACUCCAGAUCACCAAAGCAACACCUAAAAACACUCAAAUCCGAGUAUAACUUGUGGGC